CAGCCGCCGGGCCCCGCCUCCUGCGCUCGCCUCCUUCGGGCCGGGUCUCACCUGCGGCCGCCGGGACCGACCGGAUGCGGGGCGCGGGCGUGCGGCCGCCGCCAGCUGCUCACCGCACCGGGCUGCGUUUGGACUCGAAGAAUCUAGCAGCCACAGGUACAAUACUUUGGAUUCCAUGAGCAUCAUGGUGGAGAAUGGAAACAAGAAUAGUACCCAGAUUUUAUAGUAAAGCUCCAACAGUCUCCAGAGGAGCAGAUGUCCCUGCCUAUGGAUAUUCUCUAGGAUAUAUAAUAGCUUACCACACCAAUUGGAUGAACCUGAUGAACAUACUUCUGAUCAAAUAAAUGAUCUCUUCUAAUUGAAUAUAAUAUUAAUGCAUAUUUUAUGUGACAGAUUGAUUACAGCCUGCAAAGCAAGGAGAAAAAUAUCCAAUAUCAUCUCUUCCACAUACAGCAAAAUAAAAUGAAGAUGAGCAUCUACAAUGAGAAUUGCAAGGAGCUGUCAGGUUUCCCA